rnacentral:rRNA from 1 species
AACGAACGCUGGCGGCAUGCCUAACACAUGCAAGUCGAACGAGACCUUCGGGUCUAGUGGCGCACGGGUGCGUAACGCGUGGGAAUCUGCCCUUGGGUUCGGAAUAACAGUUGGAAACGACUGCUAAUACCGGAUGAUGACGUAAGUCCAAAGAUUUAUCGCCCAAGGAUGAGCCCGCGUAGGAUUAGCUAGUUGGUGAGGUAAAGGCUCACCAAGGCGACGAUCCUUAGCUGGUCUGAGAGGAUGAUCAGCCACACUGGGACUGAGACACGGCCCAGACUCCUACGGGAGGCAGCAGUGGGGAAUAGUGGACAAUGGGCGAAAGCCUGAUCCAGCAAGGCCGCGUGAGUGAUGAAGGCCUUAGGGUUGUAAAGCUCUUUUACCCGGGAUGAUAAUGACAGUACCGGGAGAAUAAGCUCCGGCUAACUCCGUG